rnacentral:lncRNA from 1 species
AGGGAUUCUCUUCUGUCUACAGCAGCCAGCAGCUUCCUCCCGAGUCUACAGGAUAGAUACGAGUCACUGGAAGCUCCCUAUGGCUUGGUGUUGAGGUAUCACCUGCUUUUCUCCACAAAGCUAGAAAGAGAAUAACUUCCUUCUGCCUUUUCAGAGGCAGCAAGGCACAGUGGUAAGAUGACAGGAUCUAGAGACAAAUGAGCUGAAGCCAAGACUGUCCUCCAACUGGG